UGAUCCACGGAUUCCAGGUACUGCAGAGCAGGAAACGCUGGCGUGGGCGCAAACUCCUCAAUGGGCGUCUCAGCUGGAUAAAGGUCAAAGCUCCUCGCAGGACGAAGCCGAAUCCUUCGCUUUCUCUCUUCUGCAGCACCGCCGUCUUCUCCUCGAUCACGUAGUCGCUGGAACCAGAUGCAGAUUGGAGAAAACAGAGAUUAUUUGGUAAUCCAGAUUACUGUCCUGUAAAUAAAUGACUGCCUCAACUUCAAA